AUUGAACGCUGGCGGCAUGCCUUACACAUGCAAGUCGAACGGUAACGGGCCUUCGGGUGCCGACGAGUGGCGCACGGGUGCGUAAUACAUCGGAACGUGCCCGAUCGUGGGGGAUAACGAGGCGAAAGCUUUGCUAAUACCGCAUACGAUCUACGGAUGCAAGCAGGGGACCGCAAGGCCUUGCGCGGACGGAGCGGCCGAUGGCAGAUUAGGUAGUUGGUGGGAUAAAAGCUUACCAAGCCGACGAUCUGUAGCUGGUCUGAGAGGAUGAUCAGCCACACUGGGACUGAGACACGGCCCAGACUCCUACGGGAGGCAGCAGUGGGGAAGUUUGGACAAUGGGCGCAAGCCUGAUCCAGCCAUGCCGCGUGCAGGAUGAAGGCCUUCGGGUUGUAAACUGCUUUUGUACGGAACGAAAAGCCUUCUUUUAAUACAGGAGGGUCAUGACGGUACCGUAAGAAUAAGCACCGGCUAACUACGUG
rnacentral:rRNA from 1 species